rnacentral:rRNA from 1 species
GACGAACGCUGGCGGCGUGCUUAACACAUGCAAGUCGAACGGUGAAGCGCCUUCCUUUUUGGUGGGUGUGGAUGAGUGGCGAACGGGUGAGUAACACGUGAGUAACCUGCCCCCUUCUUCUGGAUAACCGCAUGAAAGUGUGGCUAAUACGGGAUAUUCUGGGUCUGUCGCAUGAUGGGUCUGGGAAAGAUAUUGUUUCGGUGGGGGAUGGGCUCGCGGCCUAUCAGCUUGUUGGUGGGGUGAUGGCCUACCAAGGCGGUGACGGGUAGCCGGCCUGGGAGGGUGGACGGUCACACUGGGACUGAGACACGGCCCAGACUCCUACGGGAGGCAGCAGUGGGGAAUAUUGCACAAUGGGCGCAAGCCUGAUGCAGCGACGCCGCGUGAGGGAUGGAGGCCUUCGGGUUGUGAACCUCUUUCGCCAGUGAAGCAGGCCUGCCUCGUUUGUGGGUGGGUUGACAGUAGCUGGAGAAGAAGCGCCGGCUAACUACGUG